rnacentral:rRNA from 1 species
GUGGGGAAUAUUGGACAAUGGGCGAAAGCCUGAUCCAGCCAUGCCGCGUGUGUGAAGAAGGUCUUCGGAUUGUAAAGCACUUUAAGUUGGGAGGAAGGGCAGUAAGUUAAUACCUUGCUGUUUUGACGUUACCGACAGAAUAAGCACCGGCUAACUUCGUGCCAGCAGCCGCGGUAAUACGAAGGGUGCAAGCGUUAAUCGGAAUUACUGGGCGUAAAGCGCGCGUAGGUGGUUUUGUAAGUUGGAGGUGAAAUCCACGGGCUCAACCUGGGAACUGCCUGCAAAACUGCAUGACUAGAGUACGGUAGAGGGUAGUGGAAUUUCCUGUGUAGCGGUGAAAUGCGUAGAUAUAGGAAGGAACACCAGUGGCGAAGGCGACUACCUGGACUGAUACUGACACUGAGGUGCGAAAGCGUGGGGAGCAAACAGGAUUAGAUACCCCGGUAGUCC